CGCCCAUCGCCCCCCGGUGUCCCGGUAUCCACCGCCCAUCACUCCCCGGUGUCCCGGUGCCCAUCAUCCCUCAGUGUCCCGGUAUCCACCGCCCAUCAUCCCCCGGCUCCCCCAUAGUUCCGGGUCCCCGCCCAGCCGGACCUGCCGGGACAGCGGCUCCUCCUGCAUGUCCCCACCCCCGGUCCUGCUCCCUGCUCUUACCGGGCACAGCCCCGGUACCGGUACCGUUCACCUGCUGCCCGCACAGCCCCUCCCGUCCUCCCAGGCGUUGUCACUCCAGCAGCUGUCACCACAGCCAGCCAGGGACUCGGGCACGACGAGCACUCGGGGAAUUCCUCCUGUGUCUCCUGGAGCUGUUAUUUAUAGGAAUCUCCAAAUCCUUCCCCUCCAGCUGCUCAUGGACUGCACACUGACCCCAUCCCCGGUCCUGUCAGCAUCCCGGGAGCAGGACACCCACUGUCCCUGCCCUGUCCCCUCCCCGUGCUCAGCAAACUGCUAAAAACACUGCACAGAAUGAGAGUGCCAUCUGAAUCCCACAGGUGAGCUCCCACUUCUCCAAAACCUGGAGCUGCUCCUGGCAGAGGUGGAAGCUGUGGAUUUGGGGUUUGGACACCAGCAUGAGUUUAUUUUCUUGAAGUUAAGGGCACAGCAGAACAAGCCCAGGAUCAGCAGCUGUCAGGCCAAACCCAGACCAGUCCCACCAGUUCCAUAACUUACAAGGAAACAGAUAAGCUACAGAGAGCUGCGAGUCCUGGAGUAUUUACACCGAGGAGGGGCAGGAACAGGAGACAAAGCAACACAGGCCAAGAGGUAUUUACAGCACGGACACACCGACCCCCCUCACCUCACAAGAACAGCAGCAGCAACAGCAGGUCAGGCCCGUGGUGCUCCUAGGCCGACAGAGAAUCUGGGCUAUUUACAGUAUCUCACAUAUUAACAGCUUUACAAACGUGUCCAGGAAGUUCAUCUCAUGUUUAUAUAUAUAUAUAAAAAAAAAAGCACCAAGUGUCUGAAUAGAAAUCACACAGGCCUCCACGGGGGCUAGAAUCCGAGGGCUGGCUGGCACCUGUGGCGUCACCGGCUGAUGUCGCGGCUCGAGUCCCACAUUUUUGUGCUGGGCUCCAUGCCCAGCAUGUCAAAGAAGGGGUGCUUGAGGGCCUCAGCCAGGGUGACACGCUUGGAGGGCUCGUACUCCAGCAUGCUCUCGAUGAGGUCGAACAGGCGGUGAUGGUCCUCAGCCUCCGAGGUCAGGUAUCGCUGCGGGUGGAGGGCAAGGUGAGGCUCAGGGAGGCUGCACCCCAUCCUGAUGUUCUCUGGUUUGUUCACACCAUCUCUCAGCCUGGAGCUGAGCUCUGAACUCCUCUCUAUCCACAACUGACAGAUUGUCACACACCCUCCCUUCCCAGGGAACUUCCUGAACUUUCCAUGCUCUCCUUGUCCUCCACAUUAAACUCACAUUGCUGCAGUUUCCUAUUGCUGGGACAGCCAAGGCUCCCUUCAACCACCCUUCUGCUGGCCAGACUGAGUUCUCCUUAUUUCAAUAAUGUUUUGAAAAGUAUUUUUAAUUCUUAUGACUUAGUCCCUGCUGAUUGUCAAAAUGUGGCUUCCCUGAUUUUAACCAAUUCACAAUAUCUUUUAUGGGAAUUAAAAUGAAAAAAGCUUCUUAAUAAAUUGGUUGAAAGAUAUGCAAAUAGUGCUUAUGAGGAUAUAGAUGUUACCCAAUUAGCAAGUGAUCCACCUUACCAUAGACCAGAAAACCAAGCAGCAAAAUUGCCUCAGCCUAUAUUAACAGAUAUCAAAGAUGCUGCUAGAAAAACUUUGUUUUCAGUUGAGCCAGCUAGUACACCCAUGUAAACGCUUAUACUACCAUCAGACAAGGUGAAAAUUCUAUAGUUCUUUUUUAGAUAGAUUAACCCAAGCAGUCAAAAAGCAAUUUCUAACUCCAGGCUUGCCCAGAGGGAGAAGCUGAGGAGGGGCCAAGCUGCCUCACCCGCAGUGGUUUGCAGUUCUCCCGAACGUAGCGUCCAGCUGAGGUGUUCUCGUCCCAGUCCAGGCGGCCGUGGUAGAAAUAUUUCUGUUUCCUGUCAGAAGAAAGGGGCAGCAGGUUACACAGCAGCAGCAGCAGCAAGGUGCCAGCCCCAGUGGGACACAGCUGGGUGGCUCCAGAGUGGCAUUUCCCCCAGGGAGAAGGAGGGCUGGCUUUGCUCACCUUGUCUUGCGGACCAUUCGAGAAGGAAUUGGCCCCAAAAUCCUCUCCAUCAUGGCCAGGUGCUCCCUGUUGUCGUGUGUCUGGGAGGGAGAAAUGGAAAGGGAAGGCAUGGAAUAGAUUCCAGUGGUUCUGCCUCCAGCCCUGGGUGUUCCCCCACCCAGAACCCCCAUCCUGGCCAACACCUUGGGUGUCUCCACAGGGCUGCAGGGAUGGAGGGACCCCCAUCAGUCUCAGGGAAGCAGCCAGCAUCCUCUCACCAGCUGGGAAGUACCCACACCACACAGUUCUCACCUGGAAAAGGGUGAAACCCACAUAAUACUCAAAGAUGAUGCAGCCAAUACUCCACACAUCACAGGGCUGGCUCCAGCCAAGCUCUGAAAAACAAUGUUGUUUAAAUAAAUGAUCCAGUUACAACACAA